rnacentral:rRNA from 1 species
GCACAAGCGGUGGAUGAUGUGGUUUAAUUCGAUGCAACGCGAAAACCUUACCCACCUUUGACAUGUACGGAAUCCUUUAGAGAUAGAGGAGUGCUCGAAAGAGAACCGUAACACAGGUGCUGCAUGGCUGUCGUCAGCUCGUGUCGUGAGAUGUUGGGUUAAGUCCCGCAACGAGCGCAACCCUUGCCAUUAGUUGCUACGAAAGGGCACUCUAAUGGGACUGCCGGUGACAAACCGGAGGAAGGUGGGGAUGACGUCAAGUCCUCAUGGCCCUUAUGGGUAGGGCUUCACACGUCAUACAAUGGUCGGUACAGAGGGUUGUCAACCCGCGAGGGGGAGCUAAUCCCACAAAGCCGAUCGUAGUCCGGAUCGCAGUCUGCAACUCGACUGCGUGAAGUCGGAAUCGCUAGUAAUCGUGGAUCAGCAUGUCACGGUGAAUACGUUCCCGGGUCUU